CCUACGGGCGGCAGCAGUGAGGAAUAUUGGUCAAUGGGCUUACGCCUGAUGGAGCAACGCCGCGUGCAGGAUGAAGGCCUUCGGGUUGUAAACUGCUUUUAUAAGCGAGAAAUAUGAUGGUAACUUAUGAAUAAGGAUCGGCUAACUACGUGCCAGCAGCCGCGGUCAUACGUAGGAUCCGAGCAUUAUCCGGAGUGACUGGGUGCAAAGAGUUGCGUAGGUGGCAUAAUAAGUAGCUAGUGAAAUCUGGUGGCUCAACCAUUCAGACUAUUAGCUAAACUGUUAAGCUCGAGACCGUUAGGGGUAACUGGAAUGUCUAGUGUAGGAGUGAAAUCCGUAGAUAUUAGAAAGAACACCGAUAGCGUAGGCAGGUUACUGGGACGGUUCUGACACUAAGGCACGAAAGCGUAGGGAGCAAACGGGAUUAGAUACCCCUGUAGUC
rnacentral:rRNA from 1 species